rnacentral:rRNA from 1 species
UACGAAGGGGGCUAGCGUUGCUCGGAAUCACUGGGCGUAAAGCGCACGUAGGCGGUUCUUUAAGUCAGGGGUGAAAUCCCAAGGCUCAAACUUGGAACUGCCUUUGAUACUGGGGAUCUCGAGUCCGGAAGAGGUGAGUGGAACUGCGAGUGUAGAGGUGAAAUUCGUAGAUAUUCGCAAGAACACCAGUGGCGAAGGCGGCUCACUGGUCCGGUACUGACGCUGAGGUGCGAAAGCGUGGGGAGCAAACAGG